rnacentral:rRNA from 1 species
AGAGUUUGAUCCUGGCUCAGGAUGAACACUAGCUACAGGCUUAACACAUGCAAGUCGAGGGGAAACGAUAUUGGAAGCUUGCUUUUGAUGGGCGUCGACCGGCGCACGGGUGAGUAACGCGUAUCCAACCUGCCCACCACUUGGGGAUAACCUUGCGAAAGUAAGACUAAUACCCAAUGAUAUCUCUAGAAGACAUCUGAAAGAGAUUAAAGAUUCAUCGGUGAUGGAUGGGGAUGCGUCUGAUUAGCUUGUUGGCGGGGUAACGGCCCACCAAGGCAACGAUCAGUAGGGGUUCUGAGAGGAAGGUCCCCCACAUUGGAACUGAGACACGGUCCAAACUCCUACGGGAGGCAGCA